rnacentral:lncRNA from 1 species
UUCAUCACACCUUGGGGAACAUUCUGUUAUCGAGUGAUGCCCUUCGGUUUGAAGAACGUCGGAGCCACGUAUCAACGAGCUAUGACUACCUUGUUUCAUGAUAUGAUGCACAAUGAAGAACGUCGGAGCCACGUAUCAACGAGCUAUGACUACCUUGUUUCAUGAUAUGAUGCACAAGGAGAUAGAGGUCUAUGUUGAUGAUAUGAUUGCUAAGUCCCGAACGGAAGUUGAAC